GUGGGUUUAGUUUAACAAAAACAUAUUAUUUUCGUUAAUAAAAUAAAGAAAACUUUCUUUUACUCAUUAAAACA
rnacentral:tRNA from 1 species